AUUGAACGCUGGCGGCAGGCCUAACACAUGCAAGUCGAACGGUAACAGGAAACAGCUUGCUGUUUCGCUGACGAGUGGCGGACGGGUGAGUAAUGUCUGGGAAACUGCCUGAUGGAGGGGGAUAACUACUGGAAACGGUAGCUAAUACCGCAUAACGUCGCAAGCCCAAAGAGGGGGACCUUCGGGCCUCUUGCCAUCGGAUGUGCCCAGAUGGGAUUAGCUAGUAGGUGGGGUAACGGCUCACCUAGGCGACGAUCCCUAGCUGGUCUGAGAGGAUGACCAGCCACACUGGAACUGAGACACGGUCCAGACUCCUACGGGAGGCAGCAGUGGGGAAUAUUGCACAAUGGGCGCAAGCCUGAUGCAGCCAUGCCGCGUGUAUGAAGAAGGCCUUCGGGUUGUAAAGUACUUUCAGCGGGGAGGAAGGGAGUAAAGUUAAUACCUUUACUGAUUGACGUUACCCGCAGAAGAAGCACCGGCUAACUCCGUG
rnacentral:rRNA from 1 species